GAGGGAAGGCAGUAGCACCCUCAUGUCACAGAUAAGGACAGAGCUCCAGGGAGGAAACGGCAUUCCCAGGGCCACACGGCCCGACACGAGCAGAUCCCAAGUCGACCAGAAGCCACAAGGCUGCCCCCCAGAUCCCUGGCAGCCAACAUCUGGAUGCAGCCAGCAUCUGUAGAGAGAUGGGGAGCGCCCCGGGAUGCCGUCUGGAGCCCGGAUGCCCCACCAGGGGGCGCCCAUGGGCCCCCCGGGCUCCCCGUACAUGGGCAGCCCCGCCGUGCGACCCGGCCUGGCCCCCGCGGGCAUGGAGCCCGCCCGCAAGCGAGCAGCGCCCCCGCCCGGGCAGAGCCAGACACAGAGCCAGGGCCAGCCGGUGCCCACCGCCCCCGCGCGGAGCCGCAGUGCCAAGAGGAGGAAGAUGGCUGACAAAAUCCUCCCUCAAAGGAUUCGGGAGCUGGUCCCCGAGUCCCAGGCUUACAUGGACCUCUUGGCGUUUGAGAGGAAACUGGAUCAAACCAUCAUGCGGAAGCGGGUGGACAUCCAGGAGGCUUUGAAGAGGCCCAUGAAGCAAAAGCGGAAGCUGCGACUCUAUAUCUCCAACACUUUUAACCCUGCGAAGCCUGAUGCUGAGGAUUCCGAUGGCAGCAUUGCUUCCUGGGAGCUACGGGUGGAGGGGAAGCUCCUGGAUGAUCCCAGCAAACAGAAGCGGAAGUUCUCUUCUUUCUUCAAGAGUUUGGUCAUCGAGCUGGACAAAGAUCUUUAUGGCCCUGACAACCACCUCGUUGAGUGGCAUCGGACACCCACGACC
rnacentral:sRNA from 1 species